AUUGAACGCUGGCGGCAGGCCUAACACAUGCAAGUCGAGCGGAUGAAGGGAGCUUGCUCCUGGAUUCAGCGGCGGACGGGUGAGUAAUGCCUAGGAAUCUGCCUGGUAGUGGGGGAUAACGUCCGGAAACGGGCGCUAAUACCGCAUACGUCCUGAGGGAGAAAGUGGGGGAUCUUCGGACCUCACGCUAUCAGAUGAGCCUAGGUCGGAUUAGCUAGUUGGUGGGGUAAAGGCCUACCAAGGCGACGAUCCGUAACUGGUCUGAGAGGAUGAUCAGUCACACUGGAACUGAGACACGGUCCAGACUCCUACGGGAGGCAGCAGUGGGGAAUAUUGCACGAUGGGCGAAAGCCUGAUACAGCCAUGCCGCGUGUGUGAAGAAGGUCUUCGGAUUGUAAAGCACUUUAAGUUGGGAGGAAGGGCAGUAAGUUAAUACCUUGCUGUUUUGACGUUACCAACAGAAUAAGCACCGGCUAACUUCGUG
rnacentral:rRNA from 1 species